AUAAAACACGAGACAAUCAUUUUAACAAUUAUAUUAAAUUAUGUAAAAUGAUUGAGGACUUGUAUUUAUCAUGGGGUUCGAAGUCAUGACAAAUUAUACAUAGGUUUGUUAACCCUAAUUACUUUACAAUACAAGUUAUAAAGCUGAUGAGUUAGUUAUAUCUAGAAGAAUUAUAUUAAUUUGAAAGGAGAAAACCAUAUUAGAUAAAAGUGUGAUAUAUUUUACCUUUACCUAAUUGGGCGAACGCAACCCAGACAGGAUUUAGGAUACAUCGUCUCCUGCCUCAACACUGUACACGUUACCACCUCGUCAGGGUGCUACUAAUACUAAGCACAUCGGUGGUUCUUGGUUAAAAGUUCACAUUGCUGUGGGUCAAACCCUUAAGAUCCAGAGCGAAUAAGGGUUCUUCCAAAAUUCCACAAAUUAAUCGACAUAACGUAAUUCGUGUUAAUUAGAAAACAAUUUAACCUCGCAGUGGGUCACAUCAAAAUCGAGCGGAAGGGAUUUAGCCGGCAAUUACUGGGGGUAGGAACCCAACAUCGAACCAGCACUCGCGAUUACCGAAUUCAAGCACAGAACCAUCAUCCUUAAGGGGGCUGAGGCUUAGAAAGAGAUUUUACGUUAACACAUUACUUUUGUUGAAAAUAUUCUAAGUCCAGACUGCCGAGCAGACUGACAAGGAUUCAUUACGUACCACAUUACUCAAGAUUUAAGAUCCUCGAGUAUGGUCUGUGCACUAGGUUAUAGGCAAAGUUCAAGAAUAGUUUGUCCGAGCUUGGAACGACCUACGCUCGGAUAUAUUCGUACACGUUACCUUGGGCCCCUGAUAUGUAGGAGAAGUACGUUAUAACUUCGUCAAAAGAGGGGUUACGAUACAAACUCCAACGAGAGGUUAUUGUCCUACCUCUCUAGGAAGUCAGGGCAUAUCUGCUCCUUACAGACUUUUUCAAGAUUCAAAAACUGGGGGGAGGGAGGGGGUGUUCCACCUCCCUCAUAGUUUGAUCUAGUUGGAAGGCAAACAAAAUUUUGAACUUUUUGAGAGUGAUAUGUAAGAAGUGGAUAAAAUAACCAACUUCUGAAGACUUUUUUCAGACAUUUUGUCUUGCGUAGCCCUUCCUGACCCCCUUGCAUACGAGUAGAGAUCAACCACAUGGAAAAAUUCCCUACAAAAUAAUAAUUUAAAGAUACUUACCUAUUCAAUCUUCCAUAUCAAAUUUCAAUUGUCGUAAUUAAUUUUUAUAUUUUUUUAAAUUGCCUAUUACACAGUCAAUUACCUAUACAUUCUCAUCUAUGUUUUUUCUUUUCGUAUUCUUCUGGGUAAUUAAAAUUCAAUGCAAGAUAUGUAUAUAAACCUCAAGCGAACCAGUAAUUUUGAGAUACUUGAGUAUUCAUUCGACGUAUCACACUUCUGUGUAUAGCAUUAGAUAAAAAGUUGAAACAAUACCUAAUAGAUACCUACCAUGGAGAAACUUACAAUUUUCAUAAUCAAUUUAUUGAUUGUCUGCGUUACAAUAGUUCCAGAAAUCGAAUCUCGACGAAUGGACUCUGGAAUGGACUCUGGAAUGAACUCCGGAAUGUGCUGUGUUAUGAAUGGUGUAGUAUUCAACAAUAUGAACACUUGCAUGAUGAUGUGUAAACAAGGGUGUCAGUCCAAAGGAUGCGGCGGAUUUAAACAUUGUAUGCCGAUAGUGGGCGCUCGUACCGAAGCGUUUGGUUGUUUUUGCAAAAUGUAAUGAUCAGUGUAGUUACCUAUACGUGCACGCAAGGUCAAAAUUUCACGUGUUGUGACCAGUUGAUCUAGGAUUUCUGUCCUAUUAUAUCGUAGUAUGUAUGUAUCACAAUAAAUCCAUUCAUAACUCGA